rnacentral:rRNA from 1 species
AACGAACGCUGGCGGCAUGCCUAACACAUGCAAGUCGAACGAGACCUUCGGGUCUAGUGGCGCACGGGUGCGUAACGCGUGGGAACCUGCCCUUAGGUUCGGAAUAACUCUCCGAAAGGGGUGCUAAUACCGGAUAAUGUCUUCGGACCAAAGAUUUAUCGCCCUUGGAUGGGCCCGCGUUGGAUUAGCUAGUUGGUAGGGUAAAAGCCUACUAAGGCGACGAUCCAUAGCUGGUCUGAGAGAAUGAUCAGCCACACUGGGACUGAGACACGGCCCAGACUCCUACGGGAGGCAGCAGUGGGGAAUAUUGGACAAUGGGCGAAAGCCUGAUCCAGCAAUGCCGCGUGAGUGAUGAAGGCCUUAGGGUUGUAAAGCUCUUUUACCCGGGAUGAUAAUGACAGUACCGGGAGAAUAAGCUCCGGCUAACUCCGUG